rnacentral:rRNA from 1 species
GACGAACGCUGGCGGCGUGCUUAACACAUGCAAGUCGAACGGAAAGGCCCUGCUUUUGUGGGGUGCUCGAGUGGCGAACGGGUGAGUAACACGUGAGUAACCUGCCCUUGACUUUGGGAUAACUUCAGGAAACUGGGGCUAAUACCGGAUAGGAGCUCCUGCUGCAUGGUGGGGGUUGGAAAGGUUCGGCGGUUGGGGAUGGACUCGCGGCUUAUCAGCUUGUUGGUGGGGUAGUGGCUUACCAAGGCUUUGACGGGUAGCCGGCCUGAGAGGGUGACCGGCCACCUUGGGCCUGAGAUACGGCCCAGACUCCUACGGGAGGCAGCAGUGGGGAAUAUUGCACAAUGGGCGGAAGCCUGAUGCAGCAACGCCGCGUGCGGGAUGACGGCCUUCGGGUUGUAAACCGCUUUCGCCUGUGACGAAGCGUGAGUGACGGUAAUGGGUAAAGAAGCACCGGCUAACUACGUG